rnacentral:RNase_P_RNA from 1 species
UCAGAUGGCCGGAUGGCUGCCCUGCGUAGCCCGUCAGGGCGAAGCAGGGAGGAAAGUCCGGGCUCCACGGAAACACGGUGCCGGAUAACGUCCGGCGGAGGCGACUCCAGGGAAAGCGCAACAGAAAGCAAACCGCCGACGGUUCGUCCGGGCAAGGUUGAAAUGGUGCGGUAAGAGCGCACCGCGGCUUCGGCAACGAAGACGGCAUGGCAAGCCCCACCGGGAGCAAGACCAAAUAGGGACGGCGAUGGCGGUUUCCGGCCGCCGUCCGGGUAGGUCGCGCGAGGCGUUCGGCAACGAACGUCCCAGAGGAAUGGCCAUCUCCCGUGCAAACGGGAACAGAACCCGGCUUACAGGCCAUCUGACGCA